ACCUUGUAAAAUUAGAACUAUAACAAUUUUAAAAAGGGCCUAAAAACGAAUAUUUUUAUACUGCUGAAAUCUGUUUCUUCUGCUUAUCUGUUUCUUCAACUAAAUUAAUAAGUCAAAACCAUGUAUAGGUUUGUGAAAAGCCCUUAAAACAAUCAUGUUUGCCCUGCAGACAAACUUAUGAAGCAAAAAUACAUUUUUUAAAUUUGUUUAUGUUGUAGAAACUAAAUGUAAAAUAACAAUGUUAACUCUGUGACCUAUUUUCAACAUGGCGGGUACUAGGAUCUAGGAUACAUUGAGCAACUGUGGAGCAAAGCACAUCGUCUUUAAAGUGUUAAAACAUAAUGCUUUCUUAAUUUUAUGAAGAACACGCACUAGAGAUGCUUAGGUACAUCUCAGAAGGAUUGGUGUGCACCGGAAUAUCACAAGAAAUGACCAUAGCAGCUGGUCGUCCUUAGAAUGUGCAUUUUUUUUGUUGAACCACUUCAGACUGUUGUCAGGCUUGGGUUCCUCAAUAUAUCCAGCUCAUCGAUUUAGCUCUGGAUGUUUGUUGUAAGGGCUUUGUUACAUGUGUUAUCAUAACACAAACAGUUAAGAGACAGCUUGUAGACAGCUUCAUUAGGACUUUCUUACCCAGAAUCAAAGAUUUUACAUCCUAGGCCUGGAUUUGAACCUUGACCUGGACAAUCUUACAGAUAAUAAUAGAAGAGUUACCUGAAAUUGCACAGGCAAAUUCAUCAGAUUCAGAUGUGAGCACCAACUCUGUCUUUCUAUCAUGAAAUUCUGGUAGCUACAUCAUGCAUAUUUGAUUUCAUUUUCAAUCAUUGUUUUUACUUAUGCAAUAUGUUUGAUCAGUAUAUUGUUUAGUCAUUGUUUUUAUACAGCAAUUAACAUAAGUUUAAAAUAUGUUUAAUACAUUUUCUUUUGACAGCCUGUCCUGCCAUCUUCAGGUAAUCGCAGUAGUGGAUAUCCUGGCGAACCAUUAUUGGACUUAGAGCCACCUUGGGACAAUCCCCCAUAACAAAUAUGCAUCUUAGGCUUGGCAUUCUCACUCAGUUUUGUAGGAAAGGAGGAUUGGCACCACUGGAUUGACAAAUAUUGACAAUUGACAGUUCAGUCACACUAAACUAUAGUGGCAUGUUGCUUCAAGUUACCACACUUAUUCUAAGAUUGCUGAAUUAUCAUUACUGUCUAAGGAGACCCUAGAUCUCUCAACCAGAAGAAGAAACUUGGGGAUCAAUCAGUUAUAAGAUUAAAAACUGUUGUGUUCAGUAUAUGGAAAAGAUGACCGUGAUAUUGGAACCUUGGGGAUUCAUAACUUGAUUUCACUCCUGUGAAAAGUAACUGCUUUGUUCUUUUACUGUCCAAUUAAUAAUAUGAAAAUAAAAUACUCCUGUCAUUGUAU